AUGGACCUCCAGGCUCAAAUUGUCAGCUUCCUGCUGCUCAGUGUCACAGUGUCCAGUGGAGAAAUUGUGCUCACACAGUCUCCAGGGUCCCUGGAUGCUUCCCAAGGGGAGAAAGUCAUCAUGACCUGCACAGCCAGCUCCAGUAUAAGCACCAGCUAUUUGCACUGGUACCAACAGAAGCUGGGGGCCUUUCCACAGCUACUGAUAUAUAGAACCUCCACUCUAGCCUCCGGAGUCCCAGCACACUUCAGUGGCAUUGGGUCUGGGACCUCCUACACGCUCACCAUUAGCAGUGUGGAGGCUGAAGAUGUUGCAACCUACUACUGUCAGCAGUGA